CACAAAAUGGCCUUGCUUAACUACAGUGAGAGUCCUUGAAAAAGUGGGACUAAAAGAUGGAGUGGACCACAAGUCGUAUCCACCAAAUAGACCUUGGCUUUAGUCCAAGACUCAAAAGUUCUCUUCUGCCGUGUCUCUACAUGCAGUCUUGGACUUCUCAUUCUUCCUUGGCCUCAGGCUCGAGGAAAGGGUUUGGAUAUGCAGAAUGUACUCAAGCUCAAUGUCUAGGUGUACAGCUAUAGAUCCUACUGUGCUAAGCGGCCUUGUGGAGUGAUCUUCUUACUAGUAAAAUUUGCACACCAAUAAUAAAACAAAGGUUGCAAAAUAAAGAGCUAUGGCAUCUGCAUGUACUGCUAGUUCAUGACAAAUGAACAUUUAUUGUCCAUCUCUUCAAAUUGAAAAGGUAAGCAGUAUCAAUUACCAAAAUUGAUCUAUCAUUUUUCAUAAUCCUUGUAAGAAGUCUAAUACCCAUCUUACCCAUUCUGUUAGAUAAAACAUACACAAAUGGUAAUGAAAGGAUAUUUUUGUUUUAUCCAAAG